GGGGGAUAUUGGACAAUGGGGGGAACCCUGAUCCAGCGACGCCGCGUGAGUGAAGAAGUAUUUCGGUAUGUAAAGCUCUAUCAGCAGGGAAGAAAAUGACGGUACCUGACUAAGAAGCCCCGGCUAACUAC
rnacentral:rRNA from 1 species